UGGGAAGCACAGGCAAAUUGUUUACAUCUGUGCUUCCUGGGUCAGCCAGGUGCUCAAUCAUCAGGCUGUUACCAUACUGUUACCCCACACCCAGCAUCAGUAUAAACGGAUCCCAACCAAAUCUUGCUUAUGGAAAAACAUCCAAAGAAUCUAUGGCUGUAAGAUUCUGCUUUACUCAUUGCUCCAUGUGCAAAAAGUGAGGGAUUCCUUUCAUUCAAGCAGUGUGAUUUAAGUGUAAUGGAGAAAGUUGACUGGGCUCUGAGAACCUGGUCAAGCUGACCUUGAAUGUUUGCAGGGACAAGGCAUCCACCACCUCUCUGGAAAAACUGAAUCCCAAGAGCGUCAAGAUUGGAAAAAACAGGACUGAUAUACAGGAAAAUGGAGUAUUAAUAGGAAAAAUCAGCUUUAGGAAUAGUAGGAGGAAAACCAGGAAGAACUCUUACUUCUUUAUGCAGUCUAGACUAAGUUAACAGCAUUUCCUCGAUAGUAACAGGUCAGCAAGGACUGCACAACAUCUAAUGGCUCACAGGAUGAACUCAAAAGGCUGGAGGGGAACAGUACCUGGCAUUAUGCGUAAUUCAGUGAUGGCACUGUACAGCAAGAAACUAUGAUGUCCUAAAGGGGGCUGAGAGCUGAGAAGGAUGCAGAAAAGAGGAAAAGGAUUUAAAUGCUCAGUUUGAGGAGACUUGCCAUGAACUUGACUGAAGCACAGAUAACAGUUGUAAGAGGAGUGGAAGCAAAGGGAAAACAUCAAGAGUGACUUUCCCACUCUAAGUGUGAUGAAAGCACA